rnacentral:tRNA from 1 species
GGUGGGUUGGCAGAUCAUGCGCCUGACUUAGGAUCAGGAGAGGGGGCUGAAGUGCUCCACCCACUU